CCAAAAGGUAUUUCCUGCUCUUCAGUCAUCUAAAAUGUGAGGCAGAUGAUGUUAGCAAUAACAUUAUGGAAGUCAUUUGCUCACUUUUAACACUGCUCUAAUGAGGAUGAUAGAAUGAGGUAGAACUUAAAAGGAAAGAAAGAAGUUAAGAGAUUUCUUCCCUUGCUUUCUUUAGGGACAUUUAUGGCUGCUGGCCAAGUUCAACCAGGAUCGAAGACACUGAAUUCCUUAAGAACACUGAAGGUGGUAGAUCAAGGAGAGAGACUAGCAUCGCUGCAACCCCCUGACAUAGUGGCAACAUGGUGAAACCAACAGUUAUCUGAUCUGCUUGGCCUGCUGACUAGCACGGAACUUCUUGGGAGGAUUGGUGCUACAAAAGUCCUUACUGUAUCUGAGUAAGAAGGAAGAAUAUCUCUGCCCAUCUUCCAGAAGAUAGGAAUCACAGCAGUUAACUGAGACAGAUGCUGCAUUUCCUGAAAAGUUUUUGUCUGGUUUUAGUUCAAUCAGCCAACUGUUUCAUUCUGACAUGUAAACAAAAUAACUGCGAGAGAGACAGCCAUCAAACAGGGUCCAUGUAUUCUAAAGCUUGGCUUCAGAGAACAUCAAAUAUUACUUCAUGAUUCCAUCUUAAAUGUAAAAUAACUGCUGAGUUGUGAUUGCUUUUAACAUUAUAGUUGGAAUAUAGAAGUAAAAUGUUACGUAGUAUGAAGGGAUUCAUUAUUUCAUUAUUAAAAGUUACCUAUUCUAGUGUUGGAAAGUAGUUAUGUCUGUCAUUCCCUUAUUUCUAUCAGACAGGUCAUAUUUCUAUAUAAUCACAAGAAAUAGUAUCUCUGGAAAACACUUCUGUAUAUGAGGGAGCAAAUCAGAAGCAGCUGAAACCCCUAUUUUGUGUAGCAGUGACACCUCUGCCAGUUCUGCCUCAAGUGCUAUAAGAAGUGGUGUGCAAGAAAACUCACAGAGCAGAAGCAAUUAAGAUUGAAAGAGAGAAAGACUGAAAAUUAUCAGACAAAACAUUGCAAGGUCAGGAUGCCAAGGCACAUCAAGGAACGUUAAUAGAGACAAGGAUGUCUGAAUACUGACUAUAGGGGAAUUUUGUGGUAUUUGAAAUAACAUGUCUAAAAACAUGUUGAAGCACUACAUGGUUCUUGGGAUGGUUUUAUACAGUCUCAGAAAUAUUUAGUAAACUAAAUCAUCAGUAAAUGACCUGCAGAAAUAAAAGCUGCAGGGAAAGAAAAGUGUCUGUGUCUACACUAUUUUGACAAUAUUAACAGCAGCACAAACACAACACUAUGUAAUUGUUCGUUAGGGAAGCAUUUUGUAAAGUAUGAAGUAGCCUUUGUAUGCGACCUUGCAAAACGGAGGGCUGGGAUUUGCAAGGAUACUUAAGCUGGAAAUUCUCUUUCCUUUUGCUGGAGGAGAAGCUGGGGGUUUUUGUUUGUUUGUUUCCUGUAAUCAUUGUUUUCUAUUCUACAAAAGUUAAAGCCAAACAGUCCCCUGAAUUACACUUGCAAGGGUCUUAGUGUUUCUGUGUUAGUUUUGGCUCCACAUCAAUCUGUACAUGAGACUUUUCCCCCACCACACCCCACAGACAGUCUCCUCCAUACUGCAGAAUAACUAAGUGCCAAGAGAUCAGGAUACUUUUGUGUGUUGAGUGAGAGCCAAGUGAAGUUUUUCUUCUAAGACUGACACUCCUAUCAAUGCAUAUUGUUAGCAUGAAGAGGGGCUAUUCCAACAAAGAACAUUGUACAAAACCAGUUCUACAGCACAUUGACUACAGCUCCUUCCUGGGAUUUUGGAGAACUGAGCUGGAUUUUCUACUACGGUAAAGAUACAGCAAGCACUGUACUCUCAUUUGACCAGAAAUUUCACUUUCCAACUGAGAAAACAAUGUGGUGCAAGUCCAGCAAAAACUUUGAGACAGUAGUUUCCAAAACAAAAACCAAGCAAACAUACCUCAAAAAUCUUCCUUCAGGUGGCAGAAGCAACAGAACUACUAAAUGAAUUCAAGGAAAUUUUCCAAGCAGGCCUGCUCAGUUUCUGAAGGGACAACAAGGCUAGAAGGAAAAGGUAGGUCUUAUUCCCACCUUAAAUGGAAAAGAGUGAAGGAAACGUUGUGCAAAUGGUAAAACACUGUCAGCAAUGGAGGGAGCUGUGUCCUCGGGGGGGAGAGGUAUACACACACUGUAUGAGAAGAUAGCUUUUAUAGACAUGAAGUAGUUACAUAAUAUGAUGAAAUGCAGAGAGGCAGGGCUCUAGGGCACAAUCAUUCUCUGCUGGCAAAAUGCUCGUUCAUGCAAAAAACAUUUCCAAACAACAAAUUAACCCAACAGGAAUAGAAAUUGCAGCUGUAAAGACAAAAAUGCCAUACUCAGCAUUAAGGUUAUUCUGACUGAUAACUCUGUGUGUGAGGAGCGUUCCUCUUUAGCUCCAUAUUCCCCAUCCAUUCAACAAAGCAAGCAACACAACCUUAAACUAGGUGCAUGAAAACACUGGGGAGAUUUCUCCCUCUAAAAUUUUAUGCGUCCUUUUGUAUUUUUAACCUGAUUUCCUAAAGGAGUAAUAUCUAUUGUGGUAGUGCUGGCAGGUUGUCCAUUCAUCCAUCCACUUGUUUCAUGAACUUUCCCUCUCUUUCAAAAACUUUGGGACCUUUUUGCUAGUGUUUAUCAAAUUUGAUGGAAGGGUAGAAGUCUUACAACUCUGUAAAUCUGUGGGCCAAGAAGAAGAGACCCACCCUUCCACUGGAGAAAAGACAGGCAGAACUCACUGGUUAUGCUGGUGCUUGGUAUAACCCAUCUUAGUCAUGACAUUUUGUGAUUUUAUACAUCAAAUUAAAUAUAUUUUCAUAACCUCCAUGCAUGCUAGUGGACUAGACUGCUGAAUGGCCAGGAUGUUGGGAAUGAUUGUGAGGGGAGAAAAAUUAAAUUUCUUCUGUAGAAGGGUAAUCUUAUUGAAGUGACUAGUGUCGUAUGCUCCUUUUUGAAGUAUUUGCAUUAAUUGUGUUUCCAAGGCCAUAAGGAAAUCUGCUGCAGGUAUAUGAACCAACAGGCAGAAAUAUAUGAGGUGGAGUGGAGAGGGCAAUGUCAAAUUGUAGUUUUUUGAACAUAUUUCUAAUCACAGAUAGGUACUAGUCCCUCAGCAGCACCUUCUAGACAUCAAAGCGAGUCCCUUCAGAAACUGUUUCUCUUUAUUUACUAUCCUUCUUGCUUUCAUAUGUCUAACACAGUGUCUCGUCUCAGCUGUAGGUGACUACCUUGAAUUUGCUUAGUUUUCUCACACAGCUUUAUUUAUCAUGCUUUUUAAUUCCAUGUGUACUUUGAGGGAUGCUUCCUAAGUUUUAUUUAUUUUUUAUAUGUUCUUCCCUUACUUCCCAUCACAUCUGUCCAAUGAACAACACCAUCUCACGGUAGCUAUUCUUUUAUUAAUACUUAACUGAUUAAAGAAUAUAUUUUUUUUAAUAAUUUGUGGGUAAUGCACAGCUAUAAAACUUGAAAGUUACCUAUUUGAUAUUUUACUUACAAAAAUUUUAGCAUAAGAUGAUGUUGGCCAUCUAAUUAGAAUGAGAGGAGAAGCUGAAUACUUGAUAGGUAUAAAAGGUAACUUCUCUUUGCCAGAUAUCAGCAUCUAAUGGGCUAAUUUCCAUUUCUUAUUUCUGCAUUAGUGUAUCCUAUCUUUAUCAAAUCACAACACUGUUGUAGAGGUAAAAAUCCUAAUCAAUCAGGCCUGAAGUGUUUUCUAAAUGAGAGUCUAUAAUUAAAGAGUUUAAGUCUCAUAGAAAGCAACAUAUGACUAUCCUGGCAGUCCCUAGGAAAAAAGAAGUACUAGAUACGAAAUCAGGAGAGCCACUGUAUCCAUUGUUUAUACAAUAAAAAACUGAGAAUGUGUUAAAAAAGAAAAGAGCAAACCA